rnacentral:rRNA from 1 species
GACGAACGCUGGCGGCGUGCUUAACACAUGCAAGUCGAACGGAAAGGCCCUGCUUUUGUGGGGUGCUCGAGUGGCGAACGGGUGAGUAACACGUGAGUAACCUGCCCUUGACGGUGGGAUAACUUCAGGAAACUGGGGCUAAUACCGGAGAGGAGCUCCUGCUGCAUGGUGGGGGUUGGAAAGUUUCGGCGGUUGGGGAUGGACUCGCGGCUUAUCAGCUUGUUGGUGGGGUGGUGGCUUAGGAAGGCUUUGACGGGUAGCCGGCCUGGGAGGGUGACCGGCCUCCUUGGGCCUGCGAUACGGCCCAGACUCCUACGGGAGGCAGCAGUGGGGAAUAUUGCCCAAUGGGCGGAAGCCUGAUGCAGCAACGCCGCGUGCGGGAUGCCGGCCUUCUGGUUGUAAACCGCUUUCGCCUGUGACGAAGCGUGAGUGACGGUAAUGGGUAAAGAAGCACCGGCUAACUACGUG